GUCAACUCAGUAGAGUUAAAAUGGUCCCUCAUGUCAACUCAGUAGAGUUAAAAUGGUCCCUCAUGUCAACUCAGCAGAGUUAAAAUGGUCCCUCAUGUCAACUCAGUAGAGUUAAAAUGGUCCCUCAUGUCAACUCAGUAGAGUUAAAAUGGUCCCUCAUGUCAACUCAGUAGAGUUAAAAUGGUCCCUCAUGUCAACUCAGUAGAGUUAAAAUGGUCCCUCAUGUCAACUCAGUAGAGUUAAAAUGGUCCCUCAUGUCAACUCAGUAGAGUUAAAAUGGUCCCUCAUGUCAACUUAAAAUGGUCCCUCAUGUCAACUCAGCACAGUUAAAAUGGUCCCUCAUGUCAACUCAGCAGAGUUAAAAUGGUCCCUCAUGACAACUCAGUAGAGUUAAAAUGGUCCCUCAUGUCAACUCAGCACAGUUAAAAUGGUCCCUCAUGACAACUCAGCAGAGUUAAAAUGGUCCCUCAUGUCAACUCAGUAGAGUUAAAAUGGUCCCUCAUGUCAACUCAGCACAGUUAAAAUGGUCCCUCAUGUCAACUCAGUAGAGUUAAAAUGGUCCCUCAUGUCAACUCAGUAGAGUUAAAAUGGUCCCUCAUGUCAACUCAGCACAGUUAAAAUGGUCCCUCAUGUCAACUCAGUAGAAUUAAAAAGCAGAUAAGUAAUAAUUGGUAACUGAAAUAAGAAUAUAAGGAUAUUGAUAAAGGCACCAUUUCACAGGUAUAGUGUUCACAGAACAGUGAUGAAAACCCAUUCAUGUGCAUUCUGAUUUAAACAUUCAUAAUCACUUUCACGUUCAAUAGCCAUAAUUACCCCCCCCCACACACACACAUUGUUCCUUGUCUAGUUACCCCUAUGAGUUUCUGUUCCAUCCAUUCAAAAUGUUGUGCUUCAUAUUGUGAGUUACCCCCAUCCACAUCCCAUUAUUCUACCGUCCCAUUGGUCAAACCAGCUGAUCUCCUGCCCUGUCAUUGGCCUAACCAGCUGAUCUGAUGUCCCUUUCAUUCAAUAACAGGUGGAUCAAUUGGCCUAAUUGCUCCUCAUUGUGUCAGACAUGGUUAAAGGGUACGUCUGGCCUCCCUCUUGUAGGGCUCCUACAGCCUGUUCUAAUGAAUCCACCAAAGGCCUAAAUCCUAUUUCUGACAGCAUCACUUUGAUAGGGCUCCAUGUUGACAUGAUGCUAAUGGAAUAACGUUACUGAGGUCCAUCGAUUCAGGUCUCCUCUACACUAUACUCUUGCUCUCAUUACAAGACACUGUUGGCUCAGAGCCAAAGGUCAUACAAAGUCCCAAUUAAAUUAGCUCUGAGAGACGUUUGAUUUGUCGAAGAGACAGAGAGGGGAGGACACUCUGGGUCAGGGGAGGACUGUAGUAUUGUCCUUGAAUGCAUCCCAAUUGGCACACUCAUUCCCUAUAUAGUGCACUGCUUUUGACCAGAGCCCAGUGACCAUUGCUCAAAAGUAACGCAAUAUACAGGAAAUAGGGUGCAAUAUACAGGAAAUAGGGUGCCAUCUGGGACACAGUGCAAGCACUUGGCCUGAGUUGAGGUAGGAGCUAGCAGUGGCCUAUACAUCUGUCUGAUACAGAGCAUAACGAUAGAGAUGAUAGAAAAACCACUGAGCGCUCUGCUUCACUGGAACACAUCAUCCUCAAACAGGAUCGUCAGGCCUCAGAUCAGAUCUUGAAGUGCGUCCUAAAUGGCACCCUAUUCCCUAUAUGGUGCACUGCUUUUUACCAGAUGUCAAAUGACAAUACUUUUGGGUCUUUGGUCUAAAGUAGUGGACUAUGUAGGGAGUAGGGUGCCAUUUGGAGCGCAUACACAGAUCAAAGGGAGAGUUUCUGAAGUACUCUCUGUGGGAACGGCCUCGGGCGAAGAUACAGAACAUCACUGUUGUCAUGGUAAGACUUCAUUAUGGUAUGUCUAUGGUCUAUAUAGUUUGCCUUAUUCAACCCUUCAUCCUAACAUUGUUUCUUUCAUAGUUUCAUAUUCGAUCUCAAUUCGCUCCUACUUGUUGCCAAAAAAAUACUUUUUCAGAGUAUGGAGCUCAGAUAACAAGUUACCUAGGCUACACUCUUGCUUGAGUCACUAUCUUUAUCUUUUGAGCUUUUCUUUUUUUUGUUCUUUGUUUUUCUCAAUGCUUCUUUGUUAUUGUUUGUCUUUCUGUCUGAAUUCUUGAUAUGCAAGAGACAGUCUGGUGUUAUCGUUCAGCGAUGUACAUGCUGGCCCAUCCCCUCGCAGGUAGUGUCUACUUCAAAGUCAUGCUCUGCUCUUUAGAGGAUAAGAGGGCUGAUUCUGCUUCUCAAAUGGUACCCUACACCCUAUAGUGUAUUACUUGUGACCAGGGCCCAUGGUUUUUACCUCAAACUAGUGGAUGGUAGCAUACUAUGGUAGGUGGAAGGUAGGGCUUGUCCUAACAUUGUACUGUCCCUUAUUCACAUAUAGUGGCUUUUUUCCACCAAGGAAUUGACAUUUAUUUUCAAUUAUCAUGCCUAUAUGGAUAAUGCCUCAAUCUCUCCUUCUCUCCUUAUAGUGCAAUGGUUUUGAAAGCAUUUAAAAUGGUCUUUAUAUAGAGCAGGGAAACCAUGUGAAUACAAGCUAUCACAUUCUGAAUUGGAAUAAUGUUGAUCUUUCUCCCUGUAAUGGCUGGAUUAGGGGAGGCUGGGGCAGUUACCCCCUGUUACAUUUGCCUCCGGUCUCCCCUAAUGCACUUGAAUUCUGAUCUUGGUCAUGUUACUAAGAGAAAAGGGUUACGUCCCAAAUGGCACUCUAUUCCCUAUUUACUGCAGUACUUUACUUUACUUUUACUGCAGAUCCUUUAGGGAUCUGGUCAAAAGUAGUGCACUUUUAUUGGGAAUAGGGUUCCAUUUGGGACUCAUUCUAUCUUAAAAAUGUGCACUCAUGGUCACGGUCCACGCAGCUGCAUCCAUUCUGGUAGACUUUUAUUCAACCCUUUUAGAGCUCUACAAAUGUUAGUGAUGUUUGUCUUAUUCCCAUCCGCAUAUAAUAUGGUUAAAACUUAGACGUUUAGCAGAUUGUGUAUGUAUAAAAAAUUAAAAAGAACAUGUAAAUCAAGUAUUUUGUGGUAUCAUGUACAUCAAAUGAAUUAAUUUUACACAGUGAAAGAGCAAAAUGGAACAGAUGUUUCUAGAUAAUUCAAUACUGAACAUUCAUACUAUUUCUUUGUAUGAAUAAAUAAAUAAAAAAGUAUAUAUUUUA
ensembl:lncRNA